GUAACGGGGUGUUAGGGCACGACACCGGAGAGGGAGCCUGAGAAACGGCUACCACAUCCAAGGAUGGCAGCAGGCGCGCAAAUUACCCAAUCCCGACACGGGGAGGUAGUGACAAUAAAUAACAAUACGGGAUUCUAUAGGAUUUCGUAAUUGGAAUGAGUACAAUUUAAAUCUCUUAACGAUCAACAAUUGGAGGGCAAGUCUGGUGCCAGCAGCCGCGGUAAUUCCAGCUCCAAUAGCGUAUAUUAAAGUUGUUGCAGUUAAAAAGCUCGUAGUUGAAUUUCGGGGUUAGUAGGUUGGUCAUGCCUCAGGUAUGUACUGAUCUCACUGAUUCCUCCCUCUUGACGAACUGUAAUGUCAUUAAUUUGGUGUUGCAGGAAAUCAGGACUGUUACUUUGAAAAAAUUAGAGUGUUUAAAGCAGGCUAAGGCUUGAAUACAUUAGCAUGGAAUAAUGAAAUAGGACGUUUGAACCUAUUUUGUUGGUUUCUAGGAUCGACGUAAUGAUUAAUAGGGAUAGUUGGGGGCAUUAGUAUUCAAUUGUCAGAGGUGAAAUUCUUGGAUUUAUUGAAGACUAACUACUGCGAAAGCAUUUGCCAAGGAUGUUUUCAUUAAUCAAGAACGAAAGUUAGGGGAUCGAAGACGAUCAGAUACC
rnacentral:rRNA from 1 species